rnacentral:rRNA from 1 species
AGAGUUUGAUCCUGGCUCAGGACGAACGCUGGCGGCGUGCUUAACACAUGCAAGUCGAACGGUAAGGCCCUUCGGGGUACACGAGUGGCGAACGGGUGAGUAACACGUGGGUAAUCUGCCCUGCACAUCGGGAUAAGCCUGGGAAACUGGGUCUAAUACCGGAUAGGACUACGCGAUGCAUGUCGUGUGGUGGAAAGCUUUUGCGGUGUGGGAUGGGCCCGCGGCCUAUCAGCUUGUUGGUGGGGUGAUGGCCUACCAAGGCGACGACGGGUAGCCGGCCUGAGAGGGUGACCGGCCACACUGGGACUGAGAUACGGCCCAGACUCCUACGGGAGGCAGCAGUGGGGAAUAUUGCACAAUGGGCGCAAGCCUGAUGCAGCGACGCCGCGUGAGGGAUGACGGCCUUCGGGUUGUAAACCUCUUUCAGUGCCGACGAAGCGCAAGUGACGGUAGGCAUAGAAGAAGGACCGGCCAACUACGUGCCAGCAGCCGCGGUAAUACGUAGGGUCCGAGCGUUGUCCGGAAUUACUGGGCGUAAAGGGCUCGUAGGUGGUUUGUCGCGUUGUUCGUGAAAACUCACAGCUCAACUGUGGGCGUGCGGGCGAUACGGGCAGACUUGAGUACUGCAGGGGAGACUGGAAUUCCUGGUGUAGCGGUGGAAUGCGCAGAUAUCAGGAGGAACACCGGUGGCGAAGGCGGGUCUCUGGGCAGUAACUGACGCUGAGGAGCGAAAGCGUGGGGAGCGAACAGGAUUAGAUACCCUGGUAGUCC